AGGCAUAGUGGCGUGUGCCUGUAGUUCCAGCUGCUUGGGAAGCUGAGAUGGGAUGAUUGCUUGAGCCCAGGAAUUGGAGGCUGCAGUGAGCUAGGAUCACGCCACUGUGCUCCAGCCUGCGCUACAGAGCAAGAUCCCAUCUCUU
rfam:Gorilla gorilla gorilla genomic chromosome, chr9, whole genome shotgun sequence